rnacentral:tRNA from 1 species
GCAGUAGCUCAAUGGUAAAGUGUUUUCCUUAAAUGUUUAAGGCCUAGGUUCAAUUCCUAGGUCUGUA